UWUGACUCAACACACGCGAUCGCACCCGGCCAGGACACGGGAAGGAUUGACAGACUGAGAGCUCUUUCUCGAUUCUGUGGGCGAGUGGUGCAUGGCCAUUCAUAGUUCGUAGAGCGAUUCGUCUGGUCUAUUCCGAUAACGAGCGAGACUCUAGCCUGCUAAAUAGACGCGCCGAUCGAUCUCGCGUCGGCCGCGGAGAAAAACUCUUCUUAGAGGGACAGGCGGCAUCUAGCCGCACGAAAGGGA
rnacentral:rRNA from 1 species